UCUCCAGGCAGCCCGUUUUGGAUACAGGUAUGUGCAGUGUGCGCUUGGAGGCCUGUUUCCGCCCCCAGAGCCUGGGGAGGCUAUUUUCGCCCUCCCGGAGGCUCGAGAAAACCCUCUGGAGUCCGAGGAGGGCAAAAAUGCACCCCACCGCCGUGGGGCAGGAGGUCGACUAGGCCACGCCCACCAUGGCCACACCCACCCAGCAACCAGGCACACUUCCUACCAGGUGUUUGCAAACUUUAGAAGGCACAAAGGAAAUUUGUGGGUGCUUCCGAGGAUCUUUGGCUUGGAAAAAGAGAGAUGGGAACUAGAAUACAGGCAAUGGAUGGAUUGAUGAAAGCAGCCAGGUUAAUCUAUUCUAGCGUAAGGAAGGAGUAAAAGGUUUCAUAUGGGAAGUCCUCGACUCGCAAACGGUUCAUUCAGCGACCUAGAACAGAGGGAGAAAUUUCCCGAAAGUUAGAACAAUUAAUCAGUUAAUUAAGAAGUUGCGGGCUGCUCCAACGCUGAAGAGAUUGGAUGGCCAUUUGUCUGAAAUGGGAUCGCGUUUUCUGCCUGAGCCGGGUGGGUGGGUGGGGGUUGGACUAGAAGACCUCCAAGGUCCCUUCUGACUCUUUGUUACAUGAGGUUAUUUCGGGCUCAACUGCGGUCGUUAAAUAAGCACUUCGGGCCUAUGAUAAUGUUGCCUUCUUCUGUCAAUUCAGUGGCUGACGUGGCCCAGAGCCCACUGAAAUACGCCACGGAGCUGGUCUCCGUUAUCCUGCACAUGCAUCUCGACCACGUGGACGUCGCGGAGGCGGCCUGCAGUGCCUUUUGGGCCCUUUCUCUUCACGGUGAGUUCUCCCGAGCGACAAGGAAGAUGGGGCCGUUUGGGCGACCGCAAGAUAACCGGCGUUUCUGCUGAUGCAUAGACGAAGUCAAAUACGAGCCUUAUUCUCUCCUUUUGCUCGAAGCUCUGAGGCAGCAUCCCGACAGCCCCAUAUUGGUCAAGAACGCUUGCCUCGCCCUGGCUAGCCUCCUGAGGACGUCCGGUAAGAGUUUUCCAGGAAUGCCUUAAACCCCCUCAUCGCUCGGUGGACUGGACUCAUCUACCAAGCCAUGGGGUUCUAAGGCAUUGCUUGAAAAAUGCAAUGGCCGCCUGUCGUAAAGCGAGACAGGCCUUGCCCCGCUAUACGACAUUCCUUCGCCGCCGUUUUUUUAAAAGGGAAUAAAUAGCCGCAGUUGUUCAAGUUCAGUCGCGUGGCUGCUGAGCGAAUCCGGCUUUCCCCUUGAUUUGGCUCGUGUCGGAAAGUUCGCCAAAGACGAUCGAUAACCCUGGCCGCUUUGCAACCGUCAUUAAAUACAGGCCGGUUGCCAAGCGCCUGAAGGUUUUGAUCACGCGACCACAGGGAUGAGCGAGGGCCGUUUUAAAGUGGGAAAUGAUUCUCUGCUUGUUGUUAACUUCGGUGACUAAAUGAAUGGUUUUAAGUAGAGGAUUCCUCUAAACCAGUGAUGGCUAA